rnacentral:rRNA from 1 species
AUGGACACCGCCAUCGGCGCGGCCAAGUGGGUGCUGGGCAAGGCGCUGGCCCCAAACGCGCAGGGCAGGGACAUCCGCAGCGCGGCGCUCAAGGAGCUCCUGCGCAAGCUGGAGCAGCUGGCGUACGGGGCUGAUGAUGUGCUCGAUGAGCUGGAGUACUACCGCAUCCAGGACGCCCUUGAAGGAACCUACCAUGCCACCCGCAUGAACUCUGUGGAUUUUGUCAAGGGCCUCCGCAUCAAUGUUGAACACACGGCGAAACACGUCACCAGCAAACUCAAGUGCCUCCCGUGCUUGGGUGCCGCUAGCCGUGGUGGUCACCAAGAAAAUGAUGGCAAACAAGGAUGCAUCUCUGGCGUACGCUUGUGUGGCAGGCGCGGCGUCAGCUCCUCGCCACCGAUGCCCGCCAACAAGGUUGAUGGCAGAUGCAUGCCCAAGGUCAUCUCAAGUGCUCGCAACACUGCCCACACUUCCGGUAAACACUUUCCUUGCUGCUCUACCAUAUCUGCCCACGGUGAUGAUGCUCUAGAAACAUCAGACUUGAUGUUUGAUAGGGUACAGAUGUCCAAAACAAUGAUGGACAUGGUAGUGCAGCUGAAGGAAGUAUGUGCUAAGGUCUCCACAAUUCUUAAUCUUGAUUUAUUGGGCUCUAGCCGUACCCUUACCAAAGAAAUUGCUAUGAACAGAUCCAAAACCACAUCCGAUAUUAUAGAACCUAAGAUAUACCAGGGGAGGGAUGACCAAAAGAUGAAAAUUGUAGAGGGCAUUGUUACUGGCGACUACUGUCCCAAUCAACUUAACGUGCUUCCAAUUUUUGGACCGGUUGGUAUUGGAAAAACAACUUUGACACAACACAUAUGGGAAGAAGUGAAUAGCUAUUUCCAAGCUUCAGUUUGGGUUUGUGUCUGUUUCAAUUUCAGUGCAGAUAGGUUGGCACAAGAGAUAGUCAACAAAAUCGAUAAAGUUAAUGAUGAAAAGAAUAAUGCUAGUGCUGAAGAACUUAUCCAACAAAGAUUAAAAUCUAAGAGAUUCUUACUCGUCUUGGAUGAUGUCUGGACACAUCAUGAGGAUGAGUGGAGAAAACUAAUAUUAACAUUCGAGAAGGUAGAGUCCAACGAUUAUGAAUAUGAUAGUAAGGAGAUAGUUCAAUUGUGGAUAGGACUAGGUCUUUUGCAUCCAUGUGAUGAGGAUAAAAUGAUAGAAGAUGUUGGACUAGACCAUUUGCAUGAGUUGGUCAAUUACAGGUUUUUCAAGAAAAACAAAGAAAAAGAUGGUCGUUGUUGUUAUGUUAUUCAUGAUCUAUUGCAUGAAUUGGCCACCAAGGUUUCGUCAUAUGAAUGUGUUAGAAUAUCUAGUUCUAAUGUCAAGUCCAUAGGCAUCUCCCCAUAUAGCACCUCGGACACGCCGGGAAGAUCCGACUACCGAAGCCCGAGCCGCGACCAGAGUUCCUCUCGACGCCAUCUUCGUUGCCAAACGGAAAUCAGCGCCCCCGAAAAGGCCGCCUCGGCAAACUACGCGGCGAAGAUGCCACAAACCACGCGGCGAAGAUGCCGCAACCCACACGGCAAAGAUGCCGCCAUCCAUCGGUCUCCCAGUCGUUGCCUGCUCCGAGACGAUGCCCCCAAGGAGGAGAAAGACGCGAAGACGCCUCCAUCGCCCGAUCCAGAGGAUCUGAGGUUUCCCUCCGGAGCCAAAGCCGUGGGGAGGAGGAGCGCACCUCCACGACGUCGCUUCCAAGAAAGAUCACGGCACCCGCGGGCGCCGCCGCCGUCGGCUCCGGUGGAGACCGGAGCAAGGAUUUCUCCCGGAGAUGUGUCGACCGCCCGCCACCACCGACCGCCGCCAACAAACCACCACCCCUGCCGAGGCCGACCUCACUCCGGCCACGGGAUCCCACGAUCCACCGCGACCAGAACCGCACCACCCCCUGGCCGAAGCCGCCGUCCACCACCGCAGCACCACCGCAGCCACCACCACCGCAACAACCAACACCACAUCGCGAAGAGCAGCACCAGACCGAAGAAGCAGCUCACGCCAGAUCCAGAUCGGAGCCGCAAGCGAAGCAGCAGAGCAGACGAGCAGGUCCACCGCCCGCAGCACACCUCGCGCUCCGGAGCCGCACCCGCCACGCCCGGCUGGUUACCGCCCGGAGGAGCAGAGCACCGGCGCCGCCCCUCGGAGCCACCCCCAGGCCGCCGCCGGCCCGACACGCCACCUCGAGGCCAGCCGUCCCGCGCCGACCGGAUGUUUCGCGGGGAGGGAAGAAACCCGCCGCCACCGCCGCACGCACGCACGGGCUUCGCCCGGCGGCGGCCCCUGGCGGCGGCGGGGGAGGGGAGAGGCGAGGUGAGGGGUGGCGGCGGCGAGGGUCUAGGGCUACGCCCGGGCCGCUCGCGGGAGCGGCACGGGGUCAAUUUUAGGCAUCCAUACCCGCCGCAUGAGUGGGAUGUGGGACGAUCUUACAGGGAUCACGCAAGAGAAGAAUAUGUUCUUGAAGAUCUUGUACCGCAAAGUGACCUUCAAGAUCUGUGCAUUAGAGGGCACGGAGGCAUUAGGUGCCCAACAUGGCUAGGUGAGAACCUCCUGGUAAAAAAAUUGGAAUCUCUUCACUUGGCUGAUGUAUCUUGGAAAACUUUUCCUCCAUUAGGAGAGUUCUGGUGGGUCGAUGAGCUCCACGAUGAGUGCAAGUGGGCUGGAAAUCAAAAGUGUGGGUUCUUCUUCCACCUGGAAGUGCUCAUCAUUGAAGAUUGCCCUGAACUUAUAGAGUUGCCGUUUUCAUGUUCUACUUGCUCUCGACCAGAGCAAAUAGGGAACAGAACUUGGCUCCCUAGUCUACGGGAGCUCAAGAUUGUAAGAUGCCCUAACCUGAGGACAGUGCCCCCUAUCCCUUGGACCCCUACUCCAUGCACUAUUAAUAUAGAACAAUCAGGAUCAAAUUUUCAGGAGCUCACUUACUCAGAAGGAAGGUAUGGACCGGGAUUAAGUUUGGAAAUUGAGGCAGCGCAUGGUACAGAUAACUUGUUUUGGAAUGAGUUUGCUUUCUGUAAUUUGAGUGGACUAACAAGAUUGUAUCUAUCCGAUUGCCCUCCUUUGCCCUUGGAUAUCAUCCAAAUGCUAACAUGUCUGGAGUACCUCACUGUAAGUGGUCGUUCAAGAAUUGUCCUGUCUCCAAUCGGAGGCGAGAUCCAUGUCGUGCAGGUUCCAGUUGAAGAACUCAGCAUCUAUGAAAGUGGUGCUAGCGGGAAAGAAUUGACUCAACUGCUCUCUCAUUUCCCGAAGCUCACCAGCCUGAAUAUAGAAAGGUGCGAGAAUAUAACAGAACUUGGCGUGUGGGAGCAGCAGAGUGGAGGACAGCAGCAAGAGACAAAAGAAGAGCACAAGAGCAGAGUGGCUAUAACAAGUUGCGAAAAGAUAGCAGUAAUUGGUGUGUCGGAGCAGCAGAGUGGAUCACAGCAGCAACAAACAAUAGAAGAGGAGGAAAUAGUGGUAACGGCAGCAGGAUCACUGCUGCUCUUGCCUACCCAACUACAGAAGUUGAGACUCCAACAUUGCCGUCAGCUGAGAAUAGUCCCCAGUUCAGGUUCAGGGGGCGACAACAAUGAAGCAGCAGGAGGUCUCCAGCGUCUAAGCUCCCUCCGCCAAUUGCGUGUAGAGAAUUGCCCCAAUUUGCUUUCCUCCUAUUCGGGCUCCUCGUCCUGUUUCCCUUUCCCCACCCCCCUUGAAAAACUCGAACUAUCCAACUUGGAAGAAGUCAAUCUGGACCUCACAAACCUUUCCAACCUAGAAGAGCUCAAUCUUAGCCACAUGGAGGCCCUCACAAACCUAAGCGUCAGCCGUUCCUCAAAACUACAUACUCUAUACAUAGAACACUCCCCAGUAGUUCUUUCAGUGUCUACAUGCAGCCUCCUCUCUACCUACCUCACCAGAUUGAUCUUUAAGGGUACCAAAGAUGUGGAGCCCAUCGCAGAAGAGGCCCUCCUGUUUCUCACCUCCCUCCAAGAGCUCCAAUUUGGUUCCUGCCACAAAUUGCAGUUCCUCCCUGCAGGUCUACAUACACUUGCCAACAUCUACUACUUACGUAUCGAUGAAUGCCCAUCUCCACAGUUGCUGCCCAAGGACGGCCUCCCAACAUCUCUGCAAAAAUUACUGAUCGAGGAUUGCCCUGCCAUCAAAUCGCUGGCCAAGUAUGCCCUCCCGAGUUCACUGCAGGAAUUAGUGAUCAGGAAGUGUCCUGAAAUCAAAUCGCUUCCUAAGGACGGGCUCCCAAAAUCCCUCCGACUACUAGAUGUUCGUGAUGACAAUAGCGAGAAGCUUAAAAGGCAGUGCCGCAGUUGGCUCUCAGGCUCUCAGUUGCCUGUGCCAUCCAUCAUGUACGUAAUCAAGAGAUUUUAUCUUCUUAACGGUGCAGCAAGUUUCAGGGACAAUUCCAGUAAGUCAAAUCUGGUCAGGGCUUGCUUUUUGCCUUUCCGGUGUGUACAUCUUCUAGCCUGGUUGAAUUCUCUCCGUAUCCAAGCAGAGUCCUCUCACACUCAGUUGCCAACGACUCUAUCCUGGAAUUAUACAUUUUUGUACACUUGUAGUAUUCACUCCAACACUUGCAGGAUUCCUACAAGUGUUAUAGAUCUGAUGAUUUACAUGCUGCAAAGCUGUUUACGCGCAAACUAUCCUCACUUACUAAUGGGUGAUGCAUUAUCAAUCUCGGUAAAAGGUUGGUCCUGUGGGUUGAGGCAGACCUGGUUCUCCUGGCAUAUAAAUCUGGUAAAUACAUUUGGUCUUCAAGUUGAAACUCUUAGUACUCAGUUUGUUCCCAACCAUUUGAUCUUUCAGUGUUCUUAUAUUCGCUCUGCUAUGCUUCAAAUUACUUUCAUUAAAAUCUUCGUGGUAACUCAUGAAGACAUGGUUUUCAAGUUCGCUACACUUCCAGAACCUUUUCAUACAGUUUACAUCUUCAGGUUUGCAUUUUAUCGUGACAAGAUGCCCUCCAAGCCGAUCAUCCUUUUAUCUUAUGUUGCUAGCCUCAUCGGUACUUGGCAUUGCAUUUCCUACAUUGGGAUCUAG